AACGAACGCUGGCGGCGUGCUUAACACAUGCAAGUCGAACGCGAAAGGGACUUCGGUCCUGAGUAAAGUGGCACACGGGUGAGUAACGCGUAGAUAACCUGUCUUCAUGUCUGGAAUAAUACGCCGAAAGGGGUACUAAUACCGGAUAUUCUUGCUUUUCAUAAGUUAUGCAAGCAAAGGUGGCCUCUGCAUAUGCUACUGCAUGAAGAGGGGUCUGCGUACCAUUAGCUAGUAGGUGGGGUAAUGGCCUACCUAGGCGACGAUGGUUAGCGGGCCUGAGAGGAUGAUCCGCCACACUGGCACUGGAACACGGGCCAGACUCCUACGGGAGGCAGCAGUGAGGAAUAUUGCGCAAUGGGGGAAACCCUGACGCAGCGACGCCGCGUGAGUGAGGAAGGCCUUCGGGUCGUAAAGCUCUGUCAAGAGGAAAGAAGUGUACAAUGGCUAAUACCUGUUGUAUUUGACGGUACCUCUAAGGGAAGCACCGGCUAACUCCGUGCCAGCCGCCGC
rnacentral:rRNA from 1 species